CUCGCCGCCGGGCGUCGGGACCGCAGGGGUCUCGCUCCCCGGGACGAGACGACAUGUGGCCGCUUCGCGGCUGAAUCGCAAC
rnacentral:ncRNA from 1 species